UUGCUCUUUUGUUGUUUUUGAUUGCUUCCAUUGUGCUCAUUUGUAAGUCGCUUUGGAUAAAAGCGUCUGCUAAAUGAAUAAAUGUUAAUAUAAUGUGAAUAUUGGUGUAAUUAGACUGUAUAUGUAAACUAAAAACAAAUUAAGCAGGAAUUCAAAGGAAGAGUGAAUUAUACAGGUUGGUCUACAAAUAGAGGUGUCAGAAUGGUGAUGACGGUAAUUCAUGAUUUGCCUUUAGCACCACAUUAUUGGCUGUUUGAUAAUGUAGCCAAGCAAAUUUUAAACAAACCAUGUUCCCAUUUCCCACUUUAGACUCAAACAUCAUGCAUACACUUCACCCACUAUAUUGGUAAAUGUACUCAAUUUUAAUUGUCCCUUCUUAAAAGGUGCUUUUUUUUUUGCUUACAGUGUUCAAACACUGUUCCAAACAUGUAGUUACUGAUUAGGUUCUUCACGUGUCAUGAUUGUUUGUUAUUCUGUGUAUUUGAACUAGGGGUGUCCUGAUUAAGAAUUUUCAGUUUGUAUUUAGUUUAGGUUAUUGUUUUGGUGUUCGUUUCUGCUGUUGAAUUCACUUAACUGUUUGCAUUUUACAAGUGUUUAUCUUUAUUUAAUCACUGGUAUUUCAUAAAUAAAGACCUGCUAUGAGUAGAUCCACUA